CUACAUGCAGGUAUAAGAGAGCUCUCAGCACCUAGUCUUUCCUCCAGUCUUUCCAUCACCUUUGGAAACUUUUAUUGCUGUUUAUCAACAUGAGGACCAAAGUUGUGCCUAUGAAAGUCAAAGAUGCCAUUAUGACUGAGAAACAAGAAUAAAACUGCCAAGCAAAUAAAUAAAUGAUGGGUCUUGGUCCUAAACAUUAUGG